AUUGAACGCUGGCGGCAUGCCUUACACAUGCAAGUCGAACGGCAGCACGGACUUCGGUCUGGUGGCGAGUGGCGAACGGGUGAGUAAUGUAUCGGAACGUACCUUUCAGUGGGGGAUAACGUAGCGAAAGUUACGCUAAUACCGCAUAUUCUGUGAGCAGGAAAGCAGGGGAUCGCAAGACCUUGCGCUGAUUGAGCGGCCGAUAUCAGAUUAGCUAGUUGGUGAGGUAAAGGCUCACCAAGGCGACGAUCUGUAGCGGGUCUGAGAGGAUGAUCCGCCACACUGGAACUGAGACACGGUCCAGACUCCUACGGGAGGCAGCAGUGGGGAAUUUUGGACAAUGGGGGCAACCCUGAUCCAGCCAUGCCGCGUGAGUGAAGAAGGCCUUCGGGUUGUAAAGCUCUUUCGGCCGGGAAGAAAUCGUAUGGGUUAAUACCCUGUGCGGAUGACGGUACCGGCAUAAGAAGCACCGGCUAACUACGUG
rnacentral:rRNA from 1 species